rnacentral:rRNA from 1 species
GAUGAACGCUGGCGGCGUGCCUAAUACAUGCAAGUCGAGCGAACAGACGAGGAGCUUGCUCCUCUGACGUUAGCGGCGGACGGGUGAGUAACACGUGGAUAACCUACCUAUAAGACUGGGAUAACUUCGGGAAACCGGAGCUAAUACCGGAUAAUAUAUUGAACCGCAUGGUUCAAUAGUGAAAGACGGUUUUGCUGUCACUUAUAGAUGGAUCCGCGCCGCAUUAGCUAGUUGGUAAGGUAACGGCUUACCAAGGCAACGAUGCGUAGCCGACCUGAGAGGGUGAUCGGCCACACUGGAACUGAGACACGGUCCAGACUCCUACGGGAGGCAGCAGUAGGGAAUCUUCCGCAAUGGGCGAAAGCCUGACGGAGCAACGCCGCGUGAGUGAUGAAGGUCUUCGGAUCGUAAAACUCUGUUAUUAGGGAAGAACAAAUGUGUAAGUAACGAUGCACGUCUUGACGGUACCUAAUCAGAAGCCACGGCUAACUACGUG